AUUGUUUGAGGCACGGGUAUAAAUCUGUUUGUAGCCAUCUCUAGAUUUUGCUGACAAGAAAAACAGAUUUAGAGUUAUCUCCCUUCCAUCGAUUUGCAUUCGCAAAACAUCGGUAAUUUCCGUACAUCAUACGUG